rnacentral:lncRNA from 1 species
ACAUUACUUUGCCAACAAAGGUCCAUCUAAUUAAAGCUAUGGUUUUUCCAGGAGUUAUUUAUGGAUGUGAGAGUUGGACCAUAAAGAAAGCUGAAUGCCGAAGAAUUGAUGUUUUUGAACUGAGGUGUUGGAGAAGACUCUUGAGAGUACCUUGAAAUACAAGAUCAAACCAGUCAAUCCUAAAGGAAAUCAGUCCUGACUAUUCACUGGAAGGACUGAUGCUGAAACUCCGAUACUUUGGCCACCUGAUGGGAAGACCUGACUCACUGGAAAAGACCGUAAUGGUGGGAAAGAUUGAAGGCAGGAGGAGAAGGGGAUGACAGAGGAUGAGAUGGUUGGAUGACAUCACCGACUUGAUGGACAUAAGUUUGAGCAAGCUCUGGGAGUAGGUGAUGAACAGGGAAGCCUGACGUGCUGCAGUCCAUGGGGUCACAAAGAGUGAGACAUGACUGAGCGACUGAACUAAACUGAGACUUUAACUUACCAUGGUCACAUGAGGAAAAGCCAAGUGGAAAGCAGAUCAUCCAGACCAACCUACUGAAAUGGUGAGAAUCCUUUACUGCAUCACCUUAUAGGUUAACAGGACUCAUACUGACAAGCGAACUAAAAACAGAGCCACCGCUGUGUCAUUUGUUUGGAUGUAUAUCAGACUUUGAAGAAAAAAUGCAUUCCCCCUCUCAGAAAAUGUCUCUUGUGAGCUGGAUCACUAGACAGUCUUGUGAGUUUUUGGCAACAGAAGAACACAGUGACCCUGGUGCUAAAGAGCAGGCAUCUGGCAAAGCAGCCUGCAUCAGAGAAGAGAGCAGUGUGAGGAUGCCUGCCACAGAAUGAAGGAACCUAACCUUAAGAAGAUGCAAGAAGUGUAGGGGAAAUAUUAAGCUCUUGGCCAAAGAACAACAAUGAUUGUGUCACAAAGUUAAAAUUGGAGAAAUUCAGCAAGAACAUUCCCCCAAACACAGAAAAAAUGUUAUAUUUAACCAUUUCCCUGGAAAGAGCUAGAGACCAUUUUAUGAUUGGAGCAAUCAUUUGAGAAAUUUUUGCCUCCUCUGACUCUCCUGAAUCCUUCCACAUCUCUCUGAACUUUACUUGCUUUAAUCUUGUUUGGAAUUGGCAUAAACUCUAGGUAGUAACAAAAGGGAUAGAUAUGUCGUGUAGAACUACCACGUGGAAAGAGGGAAGAAGGAGCUUUCACCCAACCUCCUCAAGAAGCUAUGGGGUUUUCCACUAACAAGUGCAGAAGUUGGAAAGAUUAACUUGUAUCAAGUUCAAGCUUUAAAUUAGUAAUUGAGUCCAGACUAUUUCAACUUUGAAUUGAGACGGUACUAGAACCAGUGAACUCAAGGGACCUGCCUGAGAUUUUCUUAGGGUAUGGAGAUUGGGGAAGAAAUGUACACAAGUCAACUUGACUUAAAAGGAAAGUGAAAACAUGAUAAAGUUCCUUUAAUGUCUUCAUUUCAUGACUUCUGCUUGUUUAACUUAACAAUAUGGUGUUGCAAAAAUAAAAGUGAAAUUGAAAUUUAUGAAAAUGAUGAA